AAGUCGAACGAAGCACCUUGAUUCGAUUCUUCGGAUGAAGAUCUUGGUGACUGAGUGGCGGACGGGUGAGUAACGCGUGGGUAACCUGCCUCAUACAGGGGGAUAACAGUUAGAAAUGACUGCUAAUACCGCAUAAGACCACAGCACCGCAUGGUGCGGGGGUAAAAACUCCGGUGGUAUGAGAUGGACCCGCGUCUGAUUAGGUAGUUGGUGGGGUAACGGCCUACCAAGCCGACGAUCAGUAGCCGACCUGAGAGGGUGACCGGCCACGUUGGGACUGAGACACGGCCCAAACUCCUACGGGAGGCAGCAGUGGGGAAUAUUGCACAAUGGGGGAAACCCUGAUGCAGCGACGCCGCGUGAGCGAUGAAGUAUUUCGGUAUGUAAAGCUCUAUCAGCAGGGAAGAAAAUGACGGUACCUGACUAAGAAGCACCGGCUAAAUACGUGCCAGCAGCCGCGGUAAUACGUAUGGUGCAAGCGUUAUCCGGAUUUACUGGGUGUAAAGGGGGCGUAGACGGAGUGGCAAGUCUGAUGUGAAAACCCGGGGCUCAACCCCGGGACUGCAUUGGAAACUGUCAAUCUAGAGUACCGGAGAGGUAAGCGGAAUUCCUAGUGUAGCGGUGAAAUGCGUAGAUAUUAGGAGGAACAUCAGUGGCGAAGGCGGCUUACUGGACGGUAACUGACGUUGAGGCUCGAAAGCGUGGGGAGCAAACAGGAUUAGAUACCCUGGUAGUCCACGCCGUAAACGAUGACUACUAGGUGUCGGGCAGCAAAGCUGUUCGGUGCCGCAGCAAACGCAAUAAGUAGUCCACCUGGGGAGUACGUUCGCAAGAAUGCAACUCAAAGGAAUUGACGGA
rnacentral:rRNA from 2 species